rnacentral:rRNA from 1 species
GAUGAACGCUGGCGGCGUGCCUAAUACAUGCAAGUCGAGCGAACGGACGAGAAGCUUGCUGCUCUGAUGUUAGCGGCGGACGGGUGAGUAACACGUGGAUAACCUACCUAUAAGACUGGGAUAACUUCGGGAAACCGUAGCUAAUACCGGAUAAUAUUUUGAACCGCAGGGUUCAAAAGUGAAAGACGGUCUUGCUGUCACUUAUAGAUGGAUCCGCGCUGCAUUAGCUAGUUGGUAAGGUAACGGCUUACCAAGGCAACGAUGCAUAGCCGACCUGAGAGGGUGAUCGGUCACACUGGAACUGAGACACGGUCCAGACUCCUACGGGAGGCAGCAGUAGGGAAUCUUCCGCAAAGGGCGAAAGCCUGACGGAGCAACGCCGCGUGAGUGAUGAAGGUCUUCGGAUCGUAAAACUCUGUUAUUAGGGAAGAACAUAUGUGUAAGUAACUGUGCACAUCUUGACGGUACCUAAUCAGAAAGCCACGGCUAACUACGUG